UUUCCGUAGGUGAACCUGCGGAAGGAUCACUAAAGAGAACUUGCCCUUCGGGGUAGAUCUCCCACCCUUUGUUUAUUAUACUUUGUUGCUUUGGCGGGCCUGCCUCACGGCUGCCGGCGUAAGCUGGCUCGCGCCCGCCAGAGACCCCUAAACUCUGAAUAUUGUCGUCUGAGUAAUAUAUAUAAUAAGUUAAAACUUUCAACAACGGAUCUCUUGGUUCUG
rnacentral:misc_RNA from 1 species